UUGGUGUUUUCCCUGUCUUCUAAAGCCACUUUGUAUCUCUACACACUUAAAAAGUAGCUGAAAGAAAAUUCUAAGAAAUACAAGAAGAGCUUUCCAAGAAAUUCUUACCUGGAAAUUAAGAAAAUCUUGUUUUUGGCCUCAAAAAUUGGGGGUCGACUUAUACAUGGGAUUGACUAUUACAUGGGUAAAUACAGGUAGAUUUCAAUGUAGUCAACAGUCUAUUGUUACAAUGUGCGGGAUAAUAUUGAUCAGGGAUAUUCUCUUAUUAGUAAAACUGAGGCCCAUUAACACAGGCGAUCUUUGAUGCGACUUGAAGCUCACACAAACUUAUUUGACAGUAAUGCCCUGUUCGAAAGUGAAGGAAGGAUCGAUCAAUCUAGAGUUUGAUUAUGUUAGACUGCCAAAGCCAAUCCAAAUCAAUCCAAUGAUUGGAGUUUGAUUUAGUGCGAUUGAACAAUUGUUCAAUGUGUGGUUCCAGAAAAUAUCUAUACCCCCCAUGGCAGGUCACAGAAAUUCUGAGGGGUAGGGGGGACUGAAAGAGAUAGAUUUCCGAAGGGGAAGGGGCUACUCAAAGAGUUUUCUUUCCAGUGGGUGUGAAACACGAUUGAAUGAACACUACCAUACGUUCCCAAUUGAUUCAGGCAACCAAGCCAACAGAAAUGUUCAUCCGUUGAAAUAAAUGUUAGAUUCUUUGUCACACAUGUAUAUUUUCCAUUUUUCUUCCGAUGUCGUACGACAGAUGGCAAUCCUGAGUAUCGUGUUUGUUGGACAUCAAAUUGAACAAAAUGCCGGCCGACGAAGAGGUGCAACAAUACAUGAACAAUGAAGUUGAUGAUAUUUUAUACUUUGAAGAUUGCGCUGUAUUUAGCUUGAAUGCAGCUCAGAUGCUCUUUCCAGCAUUAAUCAUGCUGUCAAUUAAAUGAGAUUUGUAUUUUGUUUAUUUCGUUUGAUACUCGUACAAAAUUAAUUCCUGUUUCGGAAUUGCCGUAACUAGGUUGGCACAUAUUUUCAUCAUUAUCUGUGUAGCUAACAGUUUGCUUCAAGUAAGCAAAGUUGAUUCAAAGCCAUUUGUCUUGAACUACAUGUAAACGUGGACAGCGAGGAGUGUUGUAAUUGGAACGGUAGAUGAGAUUUCAGUCGGUCGUUUAUAGACUGACUGAACAAUGCGUGUUUCACGUAUGAAAUGUACGCCAAUUCAAAAAACUAAGGCACACAAUGAAUUUACUAUCAUUUACAAACUAAAGAGACAAAGCAUAUGACUUAAUUGAUGUAUUCCUUUGGUGAAAGAAAAAAUAAAGUGACAUUUGGGAAACAGCUGUUUUGAAAAAAA